GUAGUUAUCAGCCAGGAACCAGUUUACACUCGGUUUCAUAAUUUACUAUACAAACAAACUGGUUCCUGCUUGUAUUCCACUACACUCGAACAAAGUGUUGUAGUUUGACGGGAACCAGUUUAGAAUUUGUAAACUACAAAACGUAAUCGGUUAUUGUUCAUUCCGUUUUGGUGUUUCAUACCGACUUAUAUGGUUUGAAUAAGCUUAAGACCCUUCAAACAUUAAUGUGAUAGGUAUAUUAAAGACUGUUUUACAAAAGGAUGGAACUGUUUUACUUUCAAAGUCGUACUAUAGUGAUAUCUGUCAUGUACGGAUUUCCACUCUCACCGGUUAAUUUCUUCUUUUACACGUGC
rnacentral:lncRNA from 1 species